UACGUAGGGCGCAAGCGUUGUCCGGAAUUAUUGGGCGUAAAGAGCUCGUAGGCGGCUUGUCGCGUCUGCUGUGAAAACCCGGGGCUCAACCCCGGGCCUGCAGUGGGUACGGGCAGGCUAGAGUGUGGUAGGGGAGACCGGAAUUCCUGGUGUAGCGGUGAAAUGCGCAGAUAUCAGGAGGAACGCCGAUGGCGAAGGCAGGUCUCUGGGCUGUUACUGACGCUGAGAAGCGAAAGCAUGGGGAGCGAACAGG
rnacentral:misc_RNA from 1 species